rnacentral:rRNA from 1 species
AGCGAACGCUGGCGGCAGGCCUAACACAUGCAAGUCGAACGAAGCCUUCGGGCUUAGUGGCGGACGGGUGAGUAACACGUGGGAACGUACCUUUUGGUUCGGAACAACUCAGGGAAACUUGAGCUAAUACCGGAUGAGCCCUUAGGGGGAAAGAUUUAUCGCCGAAGGAGCGGCCCGCGUUAGAUUAGCUAGUUGGUGAGGUAAAGGCUCACCAAGGCAACGAUCUAUAGCUGGUCUGAGAGGAUGAUCAGCCACACUGGGACUGAGACACGGCCCAGACUCCUACGGGAGGCAGCAGUGGGGAAUCUUGCGCAAUGGGCGAAAGCCUGACGCAGCCAUGCCGCGUGAAUGAUGAAGGUCUUGGAUUGUAAAAUUCUUUUACCAGGGACGAUAAUGACGGUACCUGGAGGAAAAGCCCCGGCUAACUUCGUGCCAGCAGCCGCCGUAACAC